rnacentral:lncRNA from 1 species
AAAUUAUUCUUUGAAAUGGCAAAGAUUUCUGUGGCUGGAUCAUGGGAUUUAUUGACUGGAGCGAUUUCUCCUCAGAAGACCAGACACAUAAAGCUUCUUAUGUCUCUUCCCUGACAUUUCACAAAAUAGAGAAAAAGGAAAGGAAAAAAAUAUCCCUGAGGAAAGGCUAAGUGUAAAGAAGAAUUUGAUUUUGGCAUUGCUUUGAGAGGUUCCACUUACUUCCUCAACCCAUGGAAUGCUUAUUGUUGAACCAACACCGUAAGAAAGACACAGCUUCAGCUUCAAUAAGACUGCACUGUAUGCAAA